GGGCCGGUAGCUCAGCUUGGCUGGAGCGUUCGACUGAUAAUCGAAAGGUCGAGAGUUCGAAUCUCUCUCGGCCCA
rnacentral:tRNA from 3 species